AGGAUGAACGCUGGCGGCGUGCUUAACACGUGCAAGUCGAACGAUGAAGGCUGGAGCUUGCUCUGGCUGGAUUAGUGGCGAACGGGUGAGUAACACGUGAGUAACCUGCCCCAGACUCUGGGAUAAGCGCUGGAAACGGCGUCUAAUACCGGAUACGAGCUUCCACCGCAUGGUGAGGAGCUGGAAAAGAAUUUUCGGUCUGGGAUGGACUCGCGGCCUAUCAGCUUGUUGGUGAGGUAAUGGCUCACCAAGGCGACACGGGUA
rnacentral:rRNA from 1 species